CAGAAAAACAUUUUCACUGGAAAGACUGAAACUAACAUGAGUGAAAAAGAAUUGAAGCUCAAGAAGAGAAUUCGCAAUAACCAAGACAGAGAAUCAACCUAAGUGUCCAUCAGUGGAUGAAUGGAUUAAAAAAUUUGGUAUAUAUACACAAUGGAAUACUGUCCUGCUAUAAAAAGAAGGAAAUCCUGUAAUUUGUGACAACAUGGAUAAACCUGGAAGACAUUGUGUUAAAUGAAAUAAGCCAGGCAGAAAAAGACAAAUACCUCAUGAUCUCACUCAUAUGUGGAAUCUAAAAAAGUUGAUUUCAUAGAAGUAGAGAGUAGAAUGGUGAUCACCAGAGGCUGGGACAAUUGGGAAGAGGUUGGGGAGUUGCAGGUCAAAGGCUACAAAAUUACAGUUAGAUACGAGGAGUAAAUUCAGGAGAUCUAUUGUAUAGCAUGGUGACUACAGCUAAUCAUGAUUUAUUAUAUUCUCAAAAAAUGCUAAGAGAGUGGGUUUUAGGUGCUUUCACCACAAAAAUGAUAACUAUGUGAGGU
rnacentral:lncRNA from 1 species